AAUACGUUCCCGGGCCUUGUACACACCGCCCGUCAAGCCAUGGAAGCUGGGGGUACCUGAAGUCGGUGACCGCAAGGAGCUGCCUAGGGUAAAACUGGUAACUAGGGCU
rnacentral:rRNA from 1 species